rnacentral:rRNA from 1 species
UACGUAGGGACCGAGCGUUGUCCGGAAUCAUUGGGCGUAAAGAGCGUGUAGGCGGCCACUUAAGUCCUGCGUGAAAUCUUGCGGCUCAACCGCAAGCGGUCGUGGGAAACUGGGUGGCUAGAGUGCGGGAGAGGAGAGUGGAAUUCCUGGUGUAGCGGUGAAAUGCGUAGAUAUCAGGAGGAACACCGGCGGUGUAGACGGCUUUCUGGACCGUAGCUGACGCUGAGACACGAAAGCGUGGGUAGCAAACAGG